rnacentral:lncRNA from 1 species
GAGGAGAGAGAAAACAAAAUGAACACUCCCACAAUGAGAAGUAACCAUCAAGCAGUAAUGAAUCAGGCAGAAUAUGGAACGUAAGUUUUGAUACGUUUACAAUUUAGCUGAGGAUGAAUAAAUACAGUAGUCCCCGUUAUCCACGAGGGAUAUGUUCCAAGACCCCAGUGGAUGCCUGAAACUGAGAAUUGUGCUUAAUCCUCUAUGUGUUGUUUUUACCUAAACAUACAUAUUUGAGGUACGACAGCAAAACUAGCCUGACUUUCUUUUUUCCUGCUUUACAAUUUCACAGAUAGAAGAUUCAUUCUUACUGUAGAUCUCAGCAACCAUACUAUUUUUUUCUUUCCUUAUUAAGUCAAGAAUUUUCACUUUUUCACAUAAAGGAGGCACUUUGUGGCUUCUCUUUGGCGUUUCUGAAUUGCCAGCAUCACUACUCUUGCACUUUAGGGCUACAAUUAAGUAAAAUAAAGGUGUCCUUGAACACAAACACUGAGAUACCGUGACAGUCCAUCUGACAACUGAGACAUUGUAGUGCAUACAGUGUGGGUCUGCUGGACAAAGGGAUGAUUCAUGUCCUGGCAGGACAGAGCAGGACAGCAUGUGAUUUCAUCAAGCUACUCAGAACAGCGGGCAAUUUAAAACCUAUGAAUUGCUUAUUUCUGGAAUUUUCCAUUUAAUAUUUUCAGACCACACUUGACUGCACAUAACUAAAACUGCAGAAAGCAAAACCAUGGAUAAGAGGGAGCUACUGUAAUCCACAUUAAUAAAAGAAAAACUAAAGCAAACAAUAUAAGGCAUCCUAUAAUAUGCCAUUCUAACUUUUGUUUUCUCCACGACCUUUUUCUCCCUACCUGCCUCCCAGGGGAAGGACUACUCUGAAAAAGAAGGAAAAGGCCCCAGACAAAGGCUGGGGUUUUGCCCUCCCUUGGCUUCCUGUUCUGGCUUCUUCAGAGCCCACGUCAGGCCCAGAAGAGCUCAGCAGGAGGCACACGCAGGGCGCCUGUUUCUGACCCGACAUUGUUUUGAAGUUGUACCUGUGCUGACUCUUACUUGGAAAAGGAUAAAAGGUGUCUCAAAAGAGGUAAAACUCUAACCUCUUG